UAUACUCCAUAAUUAAACAACAAAAAUCAUAAUUCUCCAAACCAAAAAAAAAAAAAAAAAGCAAAUUUGAUUUGUUUAGAUGGAGAUUAAGGGAAAGUAUGUGUUAACAAUAGUUAUGCUUAUGCUAAUUAUAGUAAUUACCUCUGCAAAUACCAUUGAUAAUAAUGGUAAUGAGCUUAUUUCUCUACCAUCAGCUGAAAACAUUCUGGUGCAGCUUGGUCGUGUCAUACUUCCUAACCAUAAUCUUGGUUGUGCUGCUUAUUUUCAGUGGUGUGAUGGGGUUGGCACCAAAUGUUGCAAUUUCUUGAAGUGUAGCCGACCCGUUUUUGGUGGCAAAUGUUUAGUUGAAUGAAUAUGUUUAAUGUUACUCCGUAUUACGUAGUACGUACGUAUAAAUGUAUAAUAUUGUUAUUAUGUUUGCGUGGACUCCUGGUAGCUGUUUUUGGGCUGGUUUGGUUCUGGACCGGUGCACAAUCCUAUAGGUGCGUGUGUCGGUGUGUCAGUGUGUGUGUUUGAGAAGUCAUCAACUUUAAGUUGUAAUGUUAUUGGAGUGCCCUUAUUAAGAGGUGUCUUCACCGCUCCCCUUGUACGUUGGGAAGUUAUGGCGUACCUAUAUUUUCUACUUCUUUGUUUGUCACAAUCAAUAAAAUACGGAGUAUGAUUUUUACAUAUACCUUUGUCUCCCUUUUUCCUUUUGGAAAAAUUAGCAGCAACAAUCUAAUAUAUAUAUAUAUAUAUAUAUAUAUAUAUAUAUAUAUAUAUAUGGGAGAGAUCAUGUGAAAAUAGGUCCUUAUGUGAGUAUACUACUAUAUAUGAGAAUGAAUCUAAUCCGUAGGAUUAGAUACGAUCUAAUGGUUAGGAUUAAAUGAUGAAACAACCAUCCAUCUUUCCUAAAUAAAAACCACGUUUCUUUCAUAAACCCCAACCACUUUCUCUCUCUAAACCUCCCUCUUCAUUUUCUCCCUCUCGCGACUCUCUGUUCUCUCUCACCGUUUUCUCUCUCCUCUCGAAAAAACCACCAUCGAAGCUCAAAGAACCGCUGAUCAACCUCCUUCAUCGCCGGUGUAUUGUUGAUUUAAGCAAAAAAAAAAGCACGACAAACUAGCAAACAAUCCAGAGAAUCCACAAGACUGCUUGUGCACGCUAUUUCUUUUGCAGGGAGGGUUGUUGCGGGUCAGUCUGGGGUGGGCAGUGGUUCUGCUAUGUUUGGUUGCUGCUAGAAGUUUUGCGUGUGUGGUGUUAAUGCAAGUGAUGGUCGUAAAUGCUUGAUGUUUUGGGACAAUGCCUAUUAGAUCAAUUGGUAGAGCUUUGUGCGAUAGCACAAUGAUGUAGAAAGCGGACUUGGAGCUCAGGAAGAACGAUCCAUCAGACGGGAAAUAUAAAACUACGGUUGAGGUACCGCUGGGAACGAUGGGAACGAGUAGUGGCGAGGAUUUCACUUUAAUAAUUCCCACCUAGUUUAUGCCUUAAGUUUUAAUAGUUUAAUUAAAGACUUUUAGUAAGUUAUGUACUUUUAUUUUGAGAAUAUAAAGGAUUAUUAUACUAAUUGGAGGUUUUUAUGGCUUAUGUAUGAUGUUGCCUUGUAAUUUUCAAGACGGAAUUACGGCAGGUAAUGUCCCGACCAAAUUAGGUUAAUUCCGCUGCUAAGUAUGCUUUAAUAAGUGAUUUAGAGGUCGGGGCGUUACAGUUUGGUAUUCAGAGCCAAGGUUCUGCGACCAUAAGUGCUAAACCUUACGGGUUUUGCACAUAAUAGAAUUCAUUAGGCUUUAAGCAAAGAGUUUUAAGGAAUAAGCUAAAAAGGAAUAUGAUAAAAUCAUGUUAAGUUAAAAUGAAAUGAGUGUGAGCGUAGGAACACACGGGAUAAAAGGGAUUCAGUUCUCCUGUUAUAUAUGUUUUCUUGAUUGAAUAUGUUAUGCGAAAUAUCGAUUAUCAAGGUACUAAUGAUGCCACGAACGAAGCUCACAUCAAAGCGCAACAUUCACGAUGACGUCGUCCACAAUGAUGUUUCCCAUGACGAUUUCUAUGACGACCAAUCUAUAGUAGACCCCAAGGAGAUGAUGGAACGAUUAAGAACUGCAAGAAUGUUGUCAACUGAAGUGGUCAAAGAUUCUCGAAAAACGAAAGUCACUAAUGCAAACGAAAUUGCGUCACUAAUCACCCUCGAAUCCACCAAUCUAUGAUCGCAAGCCAAUUCAAUGGAACUUGAAGACUAGGUCAAUCAUAUGGAUCAACUACUCGAGAUUUUCAAAAUACUCUAACGAAUGGAAUUGAAUAUUGUGCUAAAACGAAUACUUUUUAUUUAUGUCAAGGAAAAGAUUAUUUCGUUAAAGAAUGUCCUAAACCACCUCCAACGAAUAUCGGAACAUCAACCUCGACCAAUCAUGAACGAAGCAACAACAAUGCUAAAUCCAUCACGCUCGUCAACAUACGUAAGAGAUUACAUGAUAAAGGACAAAGAUGACGCCAACGCCGAUAUUAUUUUGAUUUAGCUCUCUCUCGCUUUAGAAUCGAACUUCCCUGGAUUUUAUGUUUACCGUCACAUGUCAUGUUA